AUACAUAUAAUAUAUACAUAUAUAUGUGUGUUUAUAAAUGUAUGUAUAUAAAUAUAUAUUUAUAGUUAAUGUGCAGAAUCCAGACCAUGAGUCAUAUAAAUUUGCUCAACUUUUUAUGUUGUUUGUUGCUGGGUCAUAUUUAAGUAUGAAGUUGUUUUUCUUUUUUCUUUUCUUUUUUAAAGUAAGCUCUGUGCCCAGCUUGAGGCUCGAACUCAUGACCCUGAGAUCAAGAGCUGAAUGCUGUACCAACUGAGCCAGCCAAGUGCCCAGAACAGGACACAGAGUAGGAGAGAGAAGUCUGAGGGCAGUGAAUGAGACCGGCUCACUUCUUCCUCGCCGAGGGAUUGUGACCUAAUGCAACCAUGGGCCACCUGGGAAAACAGCAGGCUGUUGCUGUGGACGCUGGAAAGAGCUGAGCUGUCGGUUUGCAGCCUAACUGGGCUUCCACUGGUCUUUCUGCAAAAUUUCAAGCACCAAUUCGACCGCUUUCUUAUCAACACUGCUGCUCUUGUGGGAACAUGUCUUCCUGGUUCAGCCAAGAAUUCUGCUGUCUGGGAUUGUUCAGGACAAAACCACAGUGCCCGUGGGGGGUGGUGUGUCUGUGUAAACUUGAACAUCAGAUUGCACUGGUAGGGCAGGUCCUUUGUUGGCCAGGCUUGACACCUUGUAUUCUUUCUUUCUCAGGCUGUGAAUAGAACAUGAUUUGGCAUCGGCCAAAUCCAUCUGCACAGAGUGAAAAGGAAGGCGCUAGGUGCAGGAGAGGGAGCCGGCAAAAGAGGAGGGAGUGGCUAAAUGAAUGAAAGCCUGAUGAGACCAUUGUGAAGAUUAAAAAGGCCUGUUUGUUAAACUGUGACCCCUUUAAAGGACAGUACAGGUUUUACCAAAGCAAGAACCCAGCCGGGCUACGGCUAAUUGCUGCCAUGUUUCUGAACGGUCUGCCUUUGGUCAGUGAUUUCCAUGGGAACAUGGCUGGCACCACGAGGAUGCGGCCGGAGGACGUGGGGGAGGGGAAGGCAGGGGCCCUCUGUUCACCUCCUCAGCCCCCCUGGCCCCCGCAGUCCCUGAAACCUCCCUGAGGAUCACAGAGUUCCGGGAGGAAGCUCUGUUCUCGGAGGCAGGGCACCCACGCCUGCACCUUGGCUCAUUGCUCACCUGGCUAAAUCACAUAGCCUCUCAGCCUUUGCUGAGAUCUCUUGCGUAUUUGGAAUAAAGGCACUAAUAUUCCUGAGCCACUUGAUCGGGUUGUUUGUGAGGCCUAAAAUAACACAUGUGAACACGCUCCAUAAACUGGGAUGAGCCGCGUGCAGGGGACUAUUGCCACGUUAACCUUAAUUCCUGCUCUUUUUUCUAGGCUGAGUUGCAUCUUGUUUCUCCCUUUGAAAACUCCCUUCCCCCGUGGCUGGUCAGUUUCCACCAUGCUGUACCUCUGGAUCAUGCUUGAGCUCUGACGUUGUACUGCUCCGUCUCUCUUGGUGGGGGAGCACGAAGGGACCCUCUUCCCUGAACAUCUAUUUCUCUUCCUCAGCCCUGUCUCCUUCAGAUCCCUGCACACAGGUUGUCACUUGUCCAUGAUGAAUGUUUAGUGAAGGGUCUUCUGGAUUCUUGUUCUUCACCCGAAUGAGGCCUCUUUCUUCCUUCCUACCUACCUCGAUGCAAAGCAUUCAAUGAACUCCUUCAAAGGAAUCUGAGGAGUCACUUUGUCCUCGUGGGAGCACAUGCCCCCUUCUGGCCUUUGCUCCUUUUGCUGCCUGGCCCAGCUUACCCUGCGUCUUGACAUCAAUCCCUGCAUCUGACACAGCCCCCAUCCGCUGGAGUAUCGGCUUCAUCUGGGCUUUUUCGGUGUGAGGACCAGCCAGCGCUGUCCCCAAGCCUCCCGUGCAGGUGUACAAUGUAGUGACUCAACAAUUCUCUACAUGACUCCAUUCUCAUCAUGAUUUCUGUUUCCUGGAUGGGCUGUAGCUUCCAGCAGAAUACUGAGUGAUCACUUUGUGAAGGGAGUCUUGGUCCUGAUCCUCAUGAGGUAUAAUAUUCUGGUGAAGUUAUACGAGAAGCUCCAGCUUGGGAUCAUAUUUCCUCAUCAGCCAGACAUCCUGGGAUGCUGAUUGCUAGCCUGGAGAACCGCGCUGCCUGGCUAUUCCUUCGUGAGACUCUUGCGUCUUCUGGAACUACCACUUCCGCAUCCUGUGGGACCACCCCUCGUGAGGACCUACCCAAUGGAGCAGGCCCCCUGAACAUGCUUUAGGAACUGCCACACCCCUGGAAUGUUAUGCAAGUACUCCAUGGCCUGCUAAAACGUCUAGCAUUGUGAACUCACCAUAUGCCUAGCAAGCAAGAGUGCCCCCACAUCUCUCCCUGCACUUGCUGCCUCUCGGAAUCCACAGACGGGGCCUGCCAAUUGGGCCUUCUUCAGGCCGUGUGCAGUAUACCAAGGUAUCCUAUUUAUUGAUCUUCACCAUUCUGUCCAAACUGGUGUCUAUAAGAAGAACGUCAAAUCAGCCUGAUGGAACACAAGACAUGUCUGACAAUGCUGUAGAGCCUUUCCCAGUACCUCUGAGGAGGACACAUGCUCGGGGAAGUAAGAACAGGCGCUUGCAACUCUGUGGCUGAUAGAGUGGAGUUGAGGGUAAAGUACAAAAGCCCCACGGAGUCGAGUGCCCUUGGCUGAAUGUUUUCCUUGGUCAGGAUCACUCCAUGAAUUCCUACUCAAACACAGUACCCACAGCUGAGGCAGGACAAGCAAAACGACACCUUGAGGGAUCUUCAAUCUCCCUGGAAUAUAUAAUCCUCUCAAAAUGAUCUAAAAUGGUGUGGAUGUAACCUUAAAGGUGGACCUCCCUCGGUGAAUAUUAUAGCAACGCAAAAACAGAAAAGCCACUUUGAAAAAUGAUUCAGCAGUUUCUUAUAAGAAUUAAACAUACACCUGUCAUUCAACUCAGCAAUCUCAUGCUUAGGUAUUUAUUUAAGGUAGAUGACAACACAUAUUCCCACACAAAAAAUGGGAUAGGAAUGUUUAUUCAUAAUGACCCCACUGUGGAAAGAACCCAGAUGUCCUUCCACUGGUGAAGAGAUAAACAGUAGUACAUUUAUACGAUGAAGGGAAUCCUACUGAGCAAUAAAAAGGAACUAGCUACCGAUGCACAGAGCAACAUGGAGGGAUCUCAUUAUGCUGUAUGAAAGAAACCAGACUCAGAAGCCUGCAUGGCGUAUGAUUUCCUUUAUAGUACAUCCUGGAAAAGGCAAAAUUACAGGGUCAGAAAACAGGUCAGUAGUGGCCAGGGGCUAGGUGUGCAAGGGAAGGUUGACUUCAAGAGGGCAUAAAAGAAAUUUGGGGAGUGCUGAUGCUCUCUUGUAUCUUGAUCACAAUGGUCAUCAUACACCCGUAUGCAUUUGUUAAAAUGCAUGGUCCUGUACACUAAAAAAAGGGUAAACUUAGUCCAAGUUACACCUCAAUGAACCCAACCUGAAACUAAAAUCUCAGUGUCAAAGGCUCAAUGAUUAACAAAGGCAGACGUCAAAACAACAGAUUAACUUCCUGCCUACAUCAAGAUCUGGAGGCCUUCUCCCAGGCCGGUCCGGUGGGACUCAGAAGCCGUGUACUACUCAGUUACCUUUGGGCACAGAGUUUAAAUAAAGCACUAAUACAUAAAUCAAUACGGCCACUGUGCCAGCAUGCUACUGUGCAUGAGGUUACUCAUUUAGGAUGUUCUGAAGCCUGUUCUUCAUGAGACAGCUUCUCACAUUCUGACAUUAAGGUGCUAUUUAUUUUCCAGGGUGGUGCAUGGUUCCUACUUUGCUUCUCCUAGAGUUCUAACUGCUUGGAUGCCACAGGUUAUGUGAUCCCCGGAGUCAAGCAAUUAUUUCAGACAGAGAACUCAAGCCUGCCCUGUGCUUGUGUUUUCUAUAAAUGAAGUGAAAGGUUUACUGAGAAUCCACUAUAUGGAAAUAAAUGCUAAGGGCAGAUGGAAUGAGAAACUCGAAGAUGCAGCCUUUCAGCAGCCUACUACAGCUACCCAAGUACGUCCAGUGGAAGGCGGAGUGUGAUAUGUGCUCCGGAGAAACCCUCCACCCCAAAACCCCGUGAGUGAGGAAGGAAGGCUGGUCACCUGGCUGAGCUCUUCCCCUGCUGCCACCUACGAGAGAGUCUGGUUGAAUCCAUCCAGAAGAACUGGGAAACCAGAGCUCCACAACCUACCUCUCCCAAUCACCACCACCCCCCACCACCAGAAAUUGCUUCUUCUGCACUGAAGUAUGAAACCUACUGGUUACUCUUAUUUGGCAUCUGUGAUCAGACACAUUGUAUUUGAGUUCUUGGAUACAACACAGAUGAAAGAAACAGCCACAAUAGGAACUUAAGCAGCCAACUAGCAACCUGGUCAGUUGGAGUUGGAGUCUUGUGCUGUGUGCGGAAGGUUUCCUAGCAAGUGGACCACAUCACCUUCACACGGACGUUUCCAUUUGGAAGCAUCCCUCGUUUCUUUGUCUCUGGGAAGGUCUAGGAAUGGAACGAGGACUUCUGACUCUAGCUCAGUGCACUCCAAAGUUCUGGAUAUGGGAUGAUCCAGCGUUGUAAUUUACAAUACUGGAACGGUCACCGGGAAAAGGCCAAGGGGAAAACACCCCGGAAGUCACAACAGGAAGAUGGCGCUUCGGAGUAGGAGAAGAAAGCACCUAUGUUAAGUGAGGCUUAACCUCCCAGAUGAGACAGAAAACAAGGGUCCUUGAUCUCUUGCAGUCAUUUGAAGUGCAUGAAGAUCUCACCUAAAAGGGCGAUGCUAAGGCCCUGACCCCAGGCAGUUACGCUUCCUUUUGCUGCCCCAUAAACUCCACCUGGACACGCGGUCCGUGCAGCAGUUCAGCAACCCACUCUGAGGUAAGCACGUACCUAAGUCAUCAGAUGACAUCAUAAGCACAGUUGUGCAGGGGGUCGUUCUUGAACGAAAGGAGAUUUAGAGAUGAAAAACAUUUAUAAAAGUUAGUCUCGGCAAUAAAAAUCUGCUGGGAUUAUUAUUUUUUAAAAAGCCUCACUGCACAAAUGUCAAGGUUGCCCAUUAUGCUGAGCUUUGGUUGGCAGCGGCCUGUAGGCCCAGCAACCACCUGGUUCCUCCACGGCGCCCAGACCUCCGUGGCCAAAAGUAGCUGGUUGGCUGCCCUGGAAGGCAAGAGGGACCAAGCCGUCUGAGACUUGAAAAGAUGUGCGUGGUCAGGCUGCCCCAAGUCUCCAAGUGGGGCCCGUGAGUUAGCUGCUUGCUCAAGACAGGACACAAGGAGUGUGAGAACACAAAAGGUACCAGGGGCUGUGGCCCAGACUAGUGGAAGGAGGGUGGAGAUGGGGGCAUUUCUGAACAAGUCACAACAGGAGGCAGUGACAAGAGGAGGAAAAGCCAGGAAUGAAGAGGAGGGGAUAUAAAGACGAAAGAGCAGGAACGGAUGGCAGCUACAUGAAGCAUUGAGAUUGGGGCCAACGCUGGAACUCUGGCACUGGGAUUCAAUUAUCACUGCCAUUUAAACUGGUGGUGAGAGGCACCUGGGUGGCCCAGUCAGUUAAGCGUCCGACUUCGGCUCAGGUCAUGAUCUCACGGCUUGGGAGUUCGAGCCCCGUGUCAGGCUCUGUGCUGACAGCUCAGGCUGGAGCUGCUUUGGAUUCUGUGUUUCCUUCUCUCUCUGUCCCUCUCCUGCUCGUGCUCUGUCUUUGUCUCUCAAAAAUAAACAUUAAAUAAAUACACUGGCGGUGAGUAUACGCGUGCACAUCCUUCAGAGGGCUUGCAAGUGUUCACCUGUAACUCUCUGUGGCCCUCUAGCAUACCUGGCAACUAUUUCUUAAGCAUCCUUUCUUGAGAAACUGGAAGGUGAGAGGCCCUGCCCUCCAGGGGCUGCUGACCUGGAGGGAGUGCGGCUACAAGAGGGAAAGGUCCUGCUGACAGCAUACAACCAGCCCAAAGAGGAACAUGGAGAAGCUUCCCAAAGGCUCUAAUGCUUGAACUGCAAUGUGGAGUUAGUCAAGUAGAAAGGAGGUGCCACCCAUGAUAGGUACUCAGUCACUGUUUGUUAAUUAAUUUCAGUUCGUUCCGAUUUGUAAUGAUUACCUGGAAAAUCGUUCAAGGGCUAGGAGUUCGUUCUUAUCCCCACUGUUUUUAUUAUGUCGAUGAAAAAGAUAAACCUGUCCAUUUUCGAGUCUAGGGAUAUAAUCCAAAAAAAAAAAAAAAUACUAGACCUUACCUUUGGCUGAGAUGGGGAGUACACUUAUAGUUUUUCUAAUUAGGAGACAUCUUCUUGGUCUACUUGUCUCAUAGCAAAAAGUUUUAAAAGCUUUUGAAAAGAUCACGUUUUGCUCACUUGAAAUAUGUGUGUAUAUUUUAGCAUAAACUACACUUGGCAGCUGCUAACAUAAUUGGAUGGCUACGCCUUGCAAAAGCUUGAUUUCUUUUUAAUCAAAUUUUUAGAAUCAUACUGGGUUUUUUGCCAGUGCUGCAAUAGUGAGCAAUAAAUACAUCAUUAGAUCAAUGGUGUUCUGAUGAUGGAUUACUCCAAAGAUACUUCCAGCCAAGAAGACUAAGCCCAUAGUCUCAUUGUGCAAAGAUGAAUAAAAUAUUGUUUAAAACACAGAUACGCAGUUAACAUAACAAGGAAGAAAACAUUGCAAAAUAGAACACAACAGCCAUGGGUUUAUAAUGUAGCAAUAUUGAUCACGGAUUUUCCUAAGUACUCUAGAGCAGCCAUGCUAUUAUAUAUGCCUCUGAUUAGACCCAGAGAUGAGAAGGAAAAAGUUAUAAAAAAGGAAACUAACAGAGGAAGGCCUGCUGCUAUAAUAAAUUAUUUAAAGCAAGCAGGGCGAGCGGGUUGUGAAGACAAUAUAAAACAGAAUCAAUGCCCCCAAGAAACCCCAAACCAUCAGCACCUCUAUAAAUUUCUCACCACUCUGUCUGGCAUGUUCCUGGGGCUUCUUUCCCAGCACCCUCCCCAUCCCAUCCCACCCCACCCCUACUCUUCACAUUCUGUCUGUUCGUUUCUGAGAACUUAACAUUUGUUUUUCUUCUGUAACCUAGGAUGUUGUCUUCAGUUAUAUUUCUCAUCUUCUAUUAGAAGAGUGUCUGCAAGGCCACAGAUGAACGCAUCUGUCACUUCAAUUAUCUCGAUCUUAAAUUUCCCGUGGAAACAAUAAGCUGGUAAUAUCUAACAUGAUACUUACAACAUGA